GUGCUUGUUUCUGCAGCACAUUUACUAAAAUUGAAACAAUAUAGAGAAUAGCAUGGCUUCUGCGCAAGGAUGACACACAAAUUUGUGAAACAUUCCAUAUUUUU